rnacentral:rRNA from 1 species
GAUGAACGCUGGCGGCGUGCCUAAUACAUGCAAGUCGAGCGAACAGAUGAGGAGCUUGCUCCUCUGACGUUAGCGGCGGACGGGUAAGUAACACGUGGAUAGCCUACCUAUAAGACUGGGAUAACUUCGGGAAACCGGAGCUAAUACCGGAUAAUAUAUUGAACCGCAUGGUUCAAUAGUGAAAGACGGUUUUGCUGUCACUUAUAGAUGGAUCCGCGCCGCAUUAGCUAGUUGGUAAGGUAACGGCUUACCAAGGCAACGAUGCGUAGCCGACCUGAGAGGGUGAUCGGCCACACUGGAACUGAGACACGGUCCAGACUCCUACGGGAGGCAGCAGUAGGGAAUCUUCCGCAAUGGGCGAAAGCCUGACGGAGCAACGCCGCGUGAGUGAUGAAGGUCUUCGGAUCGUAAAACUCUGUUAUUAGGGAAGAACAAAUGUGUAAGUAACUAUGCACGUCUUGACGGUACCUAAUCAGAAAGCCACGGCUAACUACGUG